UAAAGUCAAUGCUUGAAUCUUUUUCAAUCAUUGCAUAUGAAGCGAUGUCUAUUGGAACAUCAAUUUGUACCAUCUUAAGAAAACAGGGAAUUAUGGCUUGAACACCAGGGAAAGCAGCUUGACGAUAUGCUUGAAGAAUCAAAACUAUAAUGACCGGACACUCUACAUACACGCGGAAACUUUGAGAAGCCAGUUCCAAAGGUUGAGUAGAAAUAGCUAAAGAAUUGACACGCUGUUGGAUGAUUGAAGUUUCCGUAGACAGAUAACUACCAAAAGCCAGGGUUGUAUUUUCCUCUUCAUUUGAUUUUGGAUUCUCGACAAAUAUUGAGGGAAUUAAAUAAGGAAGGUUUGUAGAAAGCUCAAGUACCAAGUCA